UACGGAGGGGGCUAGCGUUGUUCGGAAUUACUGGGCGUAAAGCGCACGUAGGCGGACUGGAAAGUCAGGGGUGAAAUCGCGGGGCUCAACCCCGGAACUGCCUUUGAAACUCCCAGUCUUGAGGUCGAGAGAGGUGAGUGGAAUUCCGAGUGUAGAGGUGAAAUUCGUAGAUAUUCGGAGGAACACCAGUGGCGAAGGCGGCUCACUGGCUCGAAACUGACGCUGAGGUGCGAAAGCGUGGGGAGCAAACAGG
rnacentral:rRNA from 1 species